CACGUAGGGCGCGAGCGUUGUCCGGAAUUAUUGGGCGUAAAGAGCUCGUAGGCGGCCUGUUGCGUCCGCUGUGAAAGCUCGUCGCUCAACGACGAGUCGGCCGUCGAUACUGUCGGGCUGGAGCACUGUAGAGGCUCAUGGAAUUCCGGGUGUAGCGGUGGAAUGCGUAGAGAUCCGGAAGAACACCGGUGGCGAAGGCGGUGAGCUGGGCAGUUGCUGGACACUGAGGCGCGACAGCGUGGGGAGCAAACAGGG
rnacentral:rRNA from 1 species